rnacentral:rRNA from 1 species
AUGCAUGUCUUCGCUAGCCCUGAGCUGAAAAUAAACCUGCCAGGAGGUAAAUACUAUGUUGCUGCCAGGAGCACUGCUGGAGGAGCUCAUUUCCACUCUAUAACAGUCAGGGAUACAAUCGGCGAUCUACCACCAAUGGAGAAUGGCGCCAGCAACCCAACAAUAAAGUAUGGAGGCGAGCCCAUCUCUUGGUUCCAGAAGAAGAUUCGAGGCGAUACGCUUUCGCUGAGUGACCACAUAUCCAGAAAGAUGAACGAGCUGAAUCUCAUAAGGUGCAAGCACAUCCUAAAGCGCCUUGGCAAUGACUGGCAUGACCUGCCAGAUGAGAAGAUGAAGCUAUCCAUAGGGAAAACAGUGGAUUUGGUCCCUAGGUACUUGCUCAACAAACCAAGAGGAACAAUCAGUGGGAAGGCCUGUAUGGGAGGCUGGACUAGGAGGGCAACUUCCCCACAUCAGUGA